rnacentral:rRNA from 1 species
UGGGGGAUAUUGCACAAUGGGCGAAAGCCUGAUGCAGCGACGCCGCGUGGGGGAUGAAGGCUUUCGGGUUGUAAACCUCUUUCGCUAUCGAACAAGGCCCGCUUAGGGUGGGUUGAGGGUAGGUGGAGAAGAAGCGCCGGCUAACUACUUGCCAGCAGCCGCCGUAAUACGUAGGGCGCGAGCGUUGUCCGGAAUAAUUGUGCGUAAGGGGUUUAUAGGCCGCUUGCUGCUCCUGCUGUGAAAACGCGGGGCUUAACUUCGCGCGUGCAGUGGGUACGGGCAGCCUUGAGUGUGGUAGGGAUGACUGGAGUCCCAGGUGUAGCGGUGGAAUGCGCAGAUAUCUGGAGGAAAACCGAUGGCGAAGACAGGUCACUGGGGCAUUACUGACGCUGAGGAGCGAAAGCGUGGGUAGCGAACAGG